UACGUAGGGGGCAAGCGUUGUCCGGAAUUAUUGGGCGUAAAAGGCUUGUAGGUGGCCACGCCAAGUCGGAUGUGAAAUCUCCCGGCUCAACUGGGAGGGGUCAUUCGAUACUGGCGGGCUCGAGGCCGGUAGGGGGAAGUGGAAUUCCCGGUGUAGUGGUGGAAUGCGUAGAUAGUCGGGAGGAACACCAGUGGCGAAGGCGGCUUCCUGGACCGGGUUCU
rnacentral:rRNA from 1 species